GAUGAACGCUGGCGGCGUGCUUAACACAUGCAAGUCGAACGGAAAGGCUCCUGCUUGCAGGGGUACUCGAGUGGCGAACGGGUGAGUAACACGUGGGUGAUCUGCCCUGCACUUCGGGAUAAGCCUGGGAAACUGGGUCUAAUACCGGAUAGGACGAUGGCUUGGAUGCCAUUGUGGAAAGUUUUUCGGUGUGGGAUGAGCUCGCGGCCUAUCAGCUUGUUGGUGGGGUAAUGGCCUACCAAGGCGUCGACGGGUAGCCGGCCUGGGAGGGUGUACGGCCGCAUUGGGACUGAGAUACGGCCCAGACUCCUACGGGAGGCAGCAGUGGGGAAUAUUGCACAAUGGGCGCAAGCCUGAUGCAGCGACGCCGCGUGGGGGAUGACGGCCUUCGGGUUGUAAACUCCUUUCGCUAGGGACGAAGCGUUUUGUGACGGUACCUGGAGAAGAAGCACCGGCUAACUACGUG
rnacentral:rRNA from 1 species